rnacentral:lncRNA from 1 species
ACUAUAUCAUGAUUUUGAUAAAAACUUAGUAUCUUGAGAGCUACAAGUUGAAUGAUUUUGAUCUUUGAAAAAUCUUCUCUAUUAAUUAUUUUAAAUAUUUAUAUAUUUGGUGAGAUCUGUCUUUUAUUUAUUAUUGAAAUUCACUUUAUUGAUGGUGAUUAUUUUUAUUGUGAAACCCAAGAUUUAUUCUUGACAUGAUAUUUGUAUAAUCUCUAGUUGAUCUAGAAAAGACUUAUAGUAAUCCUAUUAUUUUAAAUAAUGAAAGACUCAAAUCAAAAUUAUGGUAUCUAUUUUUAUGGGUUGUUUGAUUAUUUUUUGCUUACUAAAUUGUCUGACUAGAUCAUAGAUAUUAUUAUUGCUUUGCGAUAUUCUAUUUAAUUGUACAAAGAGAAAAAAAAUAUUUCCAGCAUUAUUAUUCAUGAUUAUAGGCUUUUCUAAGAGAACUUGAUUUAUCUACCCCCGAGAUUACUUGUAGCUGUAAGAAGUUUGAAUCAAUAGACAUACUUUACUCACAUAUCCUAAAAGCUCUAAGCCUCAAUAAUAUUGAUAAAAAUUCUUAAAGAUACAUAUAUAAUUAUGGACCAAAGAACUAAGGAAAAUGAUGUAUAAUCUUAAGGAAGGUGUGUCAACAUAGUUGG